UCCAGCCACGGAGCCUGGGAUUCCCGCAGGUAGUUGGAAAGAGACCUCGACAUUGAGGGACGCUCACUCAGGACUGAUUCCUCCUCGCCCUGUCUCUCCGGCAAAGUAGUGCUGAAAGCAAGAUGAGCUACUUUAUGGAUUCUGCAGUGAGUGGCCCUGCCCCUUACCCAACAGUGCGUCCUGUGGUGGCGAGGCAGGGAGUUAUCAACUCUUAUGAAGAUUCUCAAAUGGCCUGUGGCUUCCAGUCCAAUCACCACCCACAAAGAACUUGCUAUUCCUUCUGGGAGGAGAUGGCCACUCAGGAAGUUCCGACUGGUCUCGAACACUG